GUUUGCACUUGUCGGGGAAGGGUGAGAACCUUCGAUUAAGGUUCGACUCGAGCGAAAGAACGUUGCCAACGGUAACGGCCCGUAGGGUGAGGAGUGAAGCGACGAAUAA
rnacentral:sRNA from 1 species